UACGUAGGUGGCAAGCGUUAUCCGGAAUUAUUGGGCGUAAAGAGCGCGCAGGUGGUUAAUUAAGUCUGAUGUGAAAGCCCACGGCUUAACCGUGGAGGGUCAUUGGAAACUGGUUAACUUGAGUGCAGAAGAGGGAAGUGGAAUUCCAUGUGUAGCGGUGAAAUGCGUAGAGAUAUGGAGGAACACCAGUGGCGAAGGCGGCUUCCUGGUCUGUAACUGACACUGAGGCGCGAAAGCGUGGGGGAGCAAACAGG
rnacentral:rRNA from 1 species